rnacentral:rRNA from 1 species
GAUGAACGCUAGCGGCAGGCUUAACACAUGCAAGUCGAGGGGUAACAGGAUUUAGUUUACUAGAUUGCUGACGACCGGCGCACGGGUGAGUAACGCGUAUACAAUUUACCUUUUACAGGAGAAUAGCCCAGAGAAAUUUGGAUUAAUGCUCCAUGGUAUUAGAUGGUCACCUGGCUAUUUAAUUAAAGUUUCGGCGGUAAAAGAUGAGUAUGCGUCCUAUUAGCUAGAUGGUAAGGUAACGGCUUACCAUGGCGACGAUAGGUAGGGGUCCUGAGAGGGAGAUCCCCCGCACUGGUACUGAGACACGGGACCAGACUCCUACGGGGAGGCAGCAGUGAGGAAUAUUGGUCAAUGGAGGCAACUCUGAACCAGCCAUGCCGCGUGCAGGAAGACUGCCCUAUGGGUUGUAAACUGC